rnacentral:misc_RNA from 1 species
AACGCACAUUGCGCCCCUUGGUAUUCCGGGGGGCAUGCCUGUUCGAGCGUCAUUAUAACCCUCAAGCCUAGCUUGGUGUUGGAGCAUGCUACCUAGCAGCUCUUAAAAUCAGUGGCAGUGCCCUUCGGCUCUAAGCGUAGUAACUUCUCUCGCUAUGGAAACCGGGUGGCAUGCGCCAAAACCCCCAACUUUCUAAGGUUGACCUCGGAUCAGGUAGGGAUACCCGCUGAACUUAA